CAGCCAUCAGACUUGAACUGCAACUCUUCCCUGGGUCUCCAGCCAGCAGAUUUUGGACCAGCACUGCUACAAUCAUGUCCUGGUUCCUAGAGAGAGGUUAAGAGUUCUACAACUCCAGAAGAAAUAUAGCCCUCUCCCAGAGGUCAUGCCCCUAGGAGCAGCAGAAUGAGAGCUUCAAUCCGCAUGCUUGAUUCACUAUUUCUCCCUCUUGGAUCUUGUCUUCCCAAAACCUUACAGGUGGGUAUCAGUGGACACCUGGGUAUGUAAUGUGAUCUGAGAGCCCACCCUCCCCUCUUUCCUACAAAGAACCACUUCUCACACGUAGUUAAAAAACAAAAACAAAACUGAAAGCAAAUAAAAGGAUCAUGAAAAUUAGGAAUUCCCCUCUACUCUCCUCCAGCCACCAAGCUCUACAGGAACUCUCUAAAGACAAUCCCCUUUUACUUUUCUUUAUUAUUAUUAUUUGUACAGACAGGGUCUUGCUCUGUCGCCCAGGCUACAGUACAGUAGCACGAUCAUAGCUCAUUGGAACCUCAAACUCAGGGACUCAAGGAUCUUCCCACCUCAGCCUGCCAAGUAGCUGGGACUACAGGUGCUCACCACCACACCUGGCUAA
rnacentral:lncRNA from 1 species